AUUGAACGCUGGCGGCAGGCCUAACACAUGCAAGUCGAGCGGUAGAGAGAAGCUUGCUUCUCUUGAGAGCGGCGGACGGGUGAGUAAUGCCUAGGAAUCUGCCUAGUGGUGGGGGAUAACGUUCGGAAACGGACGCUAAUACCGCAUACGUCCUACGGGAGAAAGCGGGGGACCUUCGGGCCUCGCGCCAUUAGAUGAGCCUAGGUCGGAUUAGCUAGUUGGUGAGGUAAUGGCUCACCAAGGCUACGAUCUGUAACUGGUCUGAGAGGAUGAUCAGUCACACUGGAACUGAGACACGGUCCAGACUCCUACGGGAGGCAGCAGUGGGGAAUAUUGGACAAUGGGCGAAAGCCUGAUCCAGCCAUGCCGCGUGUGUGAAGAAGGUCUUCGGAUUGUAAAGCACUUUAAAGUUGGGAGGAAAGGGUAGUAAACUUAAAUACGGUG
rnacentral:rRNA from 1 species